UUCCUGAGAAGGCGCUUUCUGGGCGGGUCUCGAUGCCCCACAGGUGACAAACGGUUGCUGCUUACAUACCCCUUUGCUACUACUGACACAGGCACAAGGGA